GGAUGAUGAGUCUGGAGCCCCCUGAGAGGUGAAGAGGUUUCGCGGGGCUGACC
rnacentral:snoRNA from 19 species